UUCAUGUCUCUGUGUCACAUUUUGAUAAUUCUCACAAUAUUUCAAACUUUUUCAUUAUCAUAUCUGCUGUAGUGAUCUGUGUUCAGUGAUCUUUAAUGCUACCAUUGUAAUUAUUUUCGGGCACCACGAACUGUGCCUUUGUAUUCCCUGAGACAGAACAGUAUUAAAAUUAGGCUAAUGAGUAACUUUACGAUGGCCUCUAACUGUUCAAGUGAAAGGAAGAGGCUCAUGUCUCUCACUUUAAAUCAAAAGCUAGAAGUGAUUAAGCUUAGUGAGAAAGGCAUGUCAAAAGCCAAGGCAGGCUGAAAGCUAUGCCUCUUGCACCACACAGCCAAGUUGUGAAUGCAAAUGAAACAUUAUUGAAAGAAUUUAAAAGUGCUACUCCAAUGAACACACGACUGAUCAGAAAGCAAAACAGCCUUAUUGCUGAUAUGGAGAAAGUAUGAGUGGCUGGGAUAGAAGAUUAAACCAGCCAUAAUGUUCCUUAAGCCAAAGCCUAAUCUGGAGAAAGACUCGAACUCUCUUCAAUUUAAUGAGGCUGAGAGGGGUGAGGAAGCUGCACAAGAAAAGUUUGAGGCUAACAGAGAUUAGUUAAUGAGUUGUUUCCGUAACAUGAAAGUGCAAGAUGAAGCAGCAAAUGCUAAUGUAGAAGCUGCAGCAAGUUAUCCAGAAGAUCUGGCUAAGAUCAUUGGUGAAGGUGGCUUCACUAAAAAAUAGAUUUUCAGUACAAACCAAACAGCCCUCUAUUGGAAGAAGAUGCUCUCUAGAAAUUUUACAGCUAGAGAGGAGAAGUCAAUGUCUGACUUCGAAGCUUCAAAAAAUAGGCUGAUUCUCUUGUUAAGGUAUAAUGCAGCUGGUGACCUUAAGUUGAUGCUUAAAUGCUCAUUUAUCAUUCUGAAUAUCCUAGGACCCUUAAUAAUUAUGCUAAAUCUACUCUGCCUAUGCUGUAUAAAUGGAACAACAAGACCUGGAUGAUAGCAUAUCUGUUUAUAGUAUGGUUUGUUGCAUAUUUUAAUCCCACUAUUGAUACCUACUGCUCAGAAAAAAGGAUUCUUUACAAAAUGUUGCUGCUCAUUGACAAUAUACCUGUUCACUCAAGAGCUCCGAUGGAGAUGCACAGGAGAUUAAUGUUUUUAUGCCUGCAAAGACAACAUUCAUUAUGUAGUCUAUGGAUCAAGGAGAAAUUUUGACUUUCAAAUAUUAUUAUUUAAUAAAUACAUUUUGUAAGGCUACAGCUGCCAUAGUGAUUCCUCUGAUGAAUCUGGGCAAACUAAAUGGAAAAGCUUCUGGAAAGGAUUCACCAUUCCAGAUGCCAUUGAGAACAUUCAUAAUCGAGGCUAGGAGGUGAAAAUAUCAAUGUUAACAUGAGUUUGGAAGAAGUUAAUUCCAAUCUUUAUGGAUGAGUUUGAGGGAUUCAAGACUUCUUUGGGAGAAGUAACCACAGAUGUAGUGGAAACAGCAAGAAAACUAGAAGGGUAGCCUAAAGAUGUGACUGAAUUGCUGCAAUCUCAUGGUCAAACUGUAAUGAGUGAGGAGUUGCUUCUUACAUAUGAGCAAAGAAAGUGGUUUCUUGAGAUAGAAUCUAUUCCUGGUGAAGAUUCUGUGAACAAUGUUGAAAUAAUGGCAAAGUAUUUCAAAUAUUACAUAAACUUAGUUGAUAAAGCAGUGGCAGGAUUUGAGAGGAUUGACUCCAGUUUCAAAAGAAGUAAAAGAAGUUGUGCUGUAAAUAAAAUGCAAUCAAACAGCAUUGCGUACCACAGAUAAAUCUUUCAUGAAAGGAUGAGUCAAUUGAUGCCGCAAACUUCAUAGUUGUCUUAUUGCAAGAAAUUGCCAUAGCCUUCCCAACCUUCAGCAACCACCAGCCUGAUCAGUUAGCAGUCAUCAACAAUGAGGCAAGACCCUCCACCAGCAAAAGGUUAUGACUUGCUGAAGGCUCAGAUGAUCAUUACCAUUUUUUAGCAAUAAAGUAAUUUUAAAUUAAGGUAUACACAUUGUUUUUUAAAGACAUAAUGCUAUUGCACACUUAAUAGACUACUAUAUAGUAUAAACAUAACUUUUAUACACACUGCAAAACCAAAAAAUUCAUGUGACUUGCUUUGUUACAAUAUUUGUUUUACUGUGGUGGUCUGGAACCAAACCUGCAAUAUGCCUGAGGUAUAGCUAUAUUUACACCACGGAAACUGGAAAAUGCAAUUUCCAAACUAGGGCUUUUUUCUUCCCCGGGAAAGGUGAUUGUGAAAUAUUUAGCAGUAUAUCACUGCAAAUGAUAGUUCAGUCUCAUAUCUCCUUUGGGAAGGAGGAGGUCUAAUAGUGUAUGAAAUUUUCUAAACAUAGGAAUUCUGUUUAAAAUAUGCUAUGCAGCUACCAACAGCCAUUGAUUGCAAGGUUUCCUCCACUUCACUCCCUUGUCAAAGUAUCUUUUGAUGCCUGAUAAUGCAGUGAGAUAGAACUGCAAAUGUACUUUAGGUUAUAGCCAGAAUUUACAGCCUUGUUUCCCCUCUAUUGGACAUUGUUCCAAGCAACACUGUUUUCCCGGAAAUACUGCAGACUGUUUAUUUAAGGACAAAAGGGGACCAUGUGGCUUUUUGAAAUGUCACUGUCAAGCACUGGGCCAUGACAAUUCUGACCAAGUAUGGCAGUGUUCUAGUAUUAGGUCUCCAGGAAUUAUUCCCAGGAGGCGAGUAGUCUUCAAAGAUAAAAUGAUGGUGCAGAUGGUCACACAGCACGUAUGAGAGAGAUAUACCAAGAGAGACACUCCAUCUCUACAAAAAAAUAAUGAGAAGGUGGGCGUGGUGGCUCAUGCCUGUAAUCCCAGCACUUUGGGAGGCCGAGGUGAGUGGAUCACCUGAGGUCAGGAGUUCGAGAUCAGCCUGACCAACAUGGAGAAACCCUGUCUCUACUGAAAAUACAAAAUUAGCUGGGCAUGGUGGUACAUGCCUGUAAUCCCAGCUACUUUGGAGGCUGAGGCAGGAGAAUUGCUUGAACCCGGGAGGUGGAGGUUGCAGUGAGCCAAGAUUGUGCCAUUGCACUCCAGCCUGGGCAACAAGAGCGAUACUCCAUUUCAAAAUAAUAAUAAUGAUGAUAAUAAUAAUUAUUAUAAUAAGGAGAAACUUACUUGGCAAAUUCAGAGAUGGGAAAUCUUGAAAGAGUCUCUCAAUUGGAAAUGAAGGAAAUUGGGCAGCAUUUUCUUCUUCAUUUCUCACCUUCUCCUCUAGGUACCAGACAGACUCCUGGGAAGUCAGGGAAGUCAGGAGAAAAAGUUUCAGUCUCGCCUAGGACAGAUAGGACAGAAAGCUCAUGUUGACAAGCCAGAGCUGAGGGGGCUGCCACCAGUUAAGAUCUUCUCAAGCACAAGCAUUCCAGUACUAUUAGCCCUCCCUUGGACACAAAGAGUAGUGGCCAGACUGGGGUCAUGCUCAACGUGGGGUAGCAGAGAUGUCUGUGGUGCCCAGAAGUAGAGAAACAGUUCCAGGCUCCAAGCAGAGUGUUUUGAAAAAGACUUUUUUUGUGAAGUAUCAUGAAGCCCUCUCUCAGCUGCAAAGGACUCUUUAUCAGUGACAGCAGUGACUGUAGUGAUGGGUGCAGGGGACAGACCAUUCAACCCAGCUGAAAGGUAUCCUAGGGAACCAGUGAGGAGCCCUGGAUGCUGCAAUUAACGGCCUGGACAGAGGAUGGGGACAUGAAUAAUGGUAGAGUCCAGCAUUAGCACAACACUCCAUUCAUCACUGCUGAAGGGCAAAUGCAUAACCCUCAAAAUGAUCCUGGAAAGAGGAAAAGGGAGAGGAAUUGCAAGUUCCAUGGAACAGUGAUUUACCAUGCAGCAGAGGAUGUGAGCAUCUCCGAAAUAGAAGGGUCCACAUAUUUUGAACUUUAACAUAUAUAAUGAUACUUAUAAUGUGACUGUUACGGGCAGCUGAUUUUUCAUACAAUUGACAUGUGAGUAUUUUCCAGGCAGGCAUCUUAUUUCCUGUGUAUGUGCCCCCUAUUUAUGCAGGACCAUCAACAGGACCAACAUUGAGUAGAAAUCAGUCACAGCAAACCACUUUCCUUUUUAUUUCAUGUACUCUGUACCCUCCUUUAAUGGCAACAUAAUUGCAUCAUAUCAUUGGUUUGUAGUGUGGAGGCUGUGGGUCUGAUUUUUAGUUUCCCAAUCCGUGCAGAAUAUUCAGAAGAAUAGAGGGUUGGAGACCUCUAGUUCAGGUCAAAAUCAGUGUGAAAGGCUUGACUUUGGAAAGGGUAAAGAGAGUUCAAUUUAAACUGAGUCUCCAGCUAGGGGCAGGGAGAGGAAAGAGGAGUUAGUCUCCCACAAGAGGAGACUAGCAUAAUCUUUGUGCCCUAAUUAGGCAUCCUUGGGCUUAGGGAAUUACUAGGGGAUACGGGAGUGUAAUGCAGGAAAACCAAGGCAGAAGUCAUGUCCGAGAGUCUGGAUCAAUCCUUCAGGGCAGGGGGUGGAGCAAGGGAAGAAAGGGGAGCUGUGCCAAGGGGUCUACCAGUGGGCCCAGGGCAGAUCCCAAGUCCAUAAGCAAUAGGAUCAGGUCCAGGUACCACCUUCUUGAAAUCUGAGGCUGCUGCUGUACUUCCUGCCCCUGCUACCUUGGGCCUGGGGCUGUAAAUGUCAUCAGAUAGUCCACCUGGAAGGGCCUGUGGAAAGCAAAAUCAGAGAAACAAGGCAGGAGCUGGCCACUUGUGAAAUUUUUCCUGGAAACUCUGUCAUGGAAUCAUGUUUUAGAUACCAGAAGGAAGGGCUGCUCUGACUAACUGACCAUGAAUCGGAGAAGAGGCCUGCGAUGAUCUAGGCAGUGGGUUAUGGGAGAGGAAUGGAAAACUGCAGAAUGGAUUCUCCAGCCCAUUCAGCGCUCAUACUACAUGGGCAUGUUCACAGACCUGCAGGCUUUGCCUUUGUCUGUCUCCCUGCUUUUGGAAGGGAUGGCACAGCUUUGCCCCCUUUCCUGGAGGCACAGUAGUCUGACUUGAGUCUUUCGCUGUCUUCUGUAUCCAACUCAUUCAUGAAAUUAUAUGAGAUAAUUUCCAAAUAAGUGACUUUUUUGGCUUAUUUGCCCAAUUGACUUAAUUAUUGCCGGUUUAUUCUUCUUGUUUUGGAUUCCUUGAGCUGAGAGAGUGAAAAAGGGAGUUUAUUUAAGAAGAUAAGGACAGAUUAGGUUUUCAAUUUGGUGGUAUGAUGCAGUCUGCUUUCUUAACUCUAUUAUGACCUAUUUAGUGUUUGUUUUUCUCUUAUUGUGGAAGUAACAUAUGCUGAUUAUAGAGAUAUAGAAAAAGAUAAAAAGUAUCCAUUUCAAUUGACCAAUAAUGUCCUCUCAGCAAUUUGGUGUAUAUCAUGUAUUUUUAAAUAAACAGAUUGCUUUGUAAAUACA